rnacentral:misc_RNA from 1 species
GAUGAAGAACGUAGCGAAAUGCGAUACUUGGUGUGAAUUGCAGAAUCCCGUGAACCAUCGAGUCUUUGAACGCAAGUUGCGCCUCAAGCCAUUAGGUUGAGGGCACGUCUGCCUGGGCGUCACAUAUCGUUGCCUGAUGCCAGUUUCCUCGUGAUGGGUGACUGUGCAGGGCGAAUGAUGGCUUCCCGUGAGCAUUGUUGCCUCAUGGUUGGUUGAAAAUUGAGUCCUUGGUAGAGAGCGCCGUGAUAGAUGGUGGUUGAGUGACGAACGAGACCCAAUCAUGUGAGACCCCUACCGAAUUUGGUCUUCAUGACCCACAUGCGUCUUUGGAACGCUCAUGACGAGACCUCAGGUCAGGCGGGGCUACCCGCUGAGUUUAAGCAUAUCAAUAAGCGGAGGA